rnacentral:tRNA from 1 species
GGGGAUGUAGCUCAUUGGAAAGCACUUACAUAGCAGGUAUGAGACCCUAGGUUCAAUCCCCAGCAUCACAA